UAACCAGGGAAUGUGAAAGAAGGGGACAAUAAUUUAUUAAUUUAUUCUUCUAGCACCUUUUGGGGUUCAUGCUUUAAGAUGUAUAAAAUCUCAUCCUUGCAGAGGUGGUUGAGUACCUGGAACCAGAAGACUAAAGCUUUAUUCCCUGGAGCUGAGUUAUGGUGUCUUCGGCCCCUUCCCCAACUCAUACAGAACCCUGGCAGCCUGGCCUGUGCCUUCUAAGACAGAAGUUUGGAAGACUUUUCUCCAGAGAAAUGGAUUAACCCAAGAGAAAGGAUCUAUACAUAAUUGAGGAUCCCUCAUGAAACAAAACUAUAAAGCUCUAAGCCAUCCCACAGAGCUACAUUACAGUUCACAGUAAUAACCUAAAUGUCCAGUGUUAGGGAUUGCUUAAGUCAUGACAUAUUCCAAAAAAUGGAAUACUAUUUAAGCACUUAAAAUUAUAUAAAAGAAUUAUAUACCAUGGAAAGUGUUCACAAGUUAUUUAAAAUGAAAAAAUAAAUAUAUGUAAUAUGUUCUACUUCGACACCAUAAUUCCACUUACAGGAAUGUAUUAGAAAAUAAUCAUUCACAUAAAGAUAUGGAUAGAGAUAUAUGAUGUUUAUCUCAGGCUUAUUUAAAGUAAAAAAAAUUAGAAAUAACUUGGAUUUUCAACAAUGAUAGAUUGGAUAAAUGAAUUCUAUUUGUACAUUAGAACACUAUAUGGUCAUAAGAAUUCUGCUUUAUUAGAAUAUUUAAUAACAGGAGAAAAUGCUUAUAUUUUAUUAAGUUAAGAAAACAGGCAGCAACACCAGGUAUAUGUUAUAAUCCCAAUUUCAAAUACACACACGCGCGCGCACACACACACACGUACAACAUUUUCACAAAGAUGUUAAUAGGUUCAUUCACAGAGGUAGGAUUCUGGGUAGUUUUUCUGUUCCUUGGCUUUUUUGUAUUUCCCCAGUUUUCUACAGUGGAAGUUUUUUUUAACUUUUUUGGAAAUUUUUCAAAAAUACAGAAAAGUAGAGAUAAUCAUGUAAUAACUAUCAUUUACCCAAUACCCAGAUUCAACAAUUAUUCAUCAUUUUGCCAAUCUCAUUUCCUCUCUCCCUUUUUAUUGAGCGCCAGAAAAAGAAGGCUGGAGUUAUUUUAAAGUAGAUCCCAAACAUCAAAUUAUUUUACCUAUAAAUACUUAAAUAUGCAUUUCUAACUGUUAAGGACUUUAAAAGCCUAACCAUUAUGUCAUUUUCACACCUAAUAAAAUUAGCUAAUUUCUUAAUAUUCCCUGAUUUCCUCAAAGAUCUCUUUUUUAAUCAGGUUUGUUUGAAUCAGGUUCUAAACAAAGUCCAUAUAUUGCGUUUGGUUAUUACAUCUCUUUAGACUCUCUUAUCCCGAACAUUCCUACCUUCCCUUACCCUCACAUACCCACCCUCCCCUUUUUUUUGGUCAUUUAUUUGUUGGGGAAUUUUUCCUGAAGAAUGAUCCACACUGUGUUUGAUCCACAUUGUGUGUUUACUGAUUGCUUCUUCAUGGUGUCUCUUGUUCUUUUAUUCCCCAUAUUUCUAGUAAACUGGUAAUUGGAGCUAGAGGAUUGAUUAUAUUGAGGUUUGUUUUUUUUGUUUUUUGAGAGAGGCUGCAGGGGGCAGAAGAGAGAGAGUCUUAAGCAGGUUCCAUGUCCAGCACAGAGCCCAACACCGGCUCAACAUGGGACCUGAUCUCACAAUCCUGAGAUCAUGACCCAAGCCAAAAUCCAGAGUCGGACGCCUAACUGACUGAGCCACCCAGGCACCCCUAUAUUGAGUUUUUUUAAAGACACGAAUACUUUUUUGGGCAGUGGUGUGAAUAUCACAUAGACAUAAUAUCGCACAUUAAAUGUUGCUAGGGUUGAGUGGUGGAUUGAGGUGAUGCUUAUCAGUCUCAUCCCUUUCAAAUGGUUUUAGCAGCCAUUGAUAAUUGGUGCCUGUAUCCAUGAUGUCAUAGAGGUUGAAAAAUGGCAAUUUUUUUUUUACUCACGUAGCAUUGCUUUUGCAUUGAUUAGCUGAAAGUCUUCUAUAAGAAACAGUGAACAUAUAGUAUAUUUUAUUACAGUUUUUAAAAUUAUAACUCAAAAAAAGGAAAAUAAAAUCCAGCCAUUGAAACAAUCUUAAACACAGUCAAGUCCAACUUUACUACUGUGUAAACCUUAGGUUACUUGCCUUCUGUUAGCCUCAAUUUCCUCAUCUAUAAUUGGGAAUACCACCACCUCCCUUGUAGGAUUGCCAUGAAAAUUAGAUGAGAUGAUAUAUUUAAGAUAUUUAGUAGAGUGCUGGUGUACCUAGUUACCCAUACAUAUAUAUGUGUGUGUGUGUGUGUGUAUAUAUGUAUAUAUAUAUAAUUUCAUUCACCCAACAGAUGUUUAUAGGAGACAUAACUGUAUGUAGGCAUUUGUUUCUGAGAAUUUGGGAUAGACUUGUGAACAAAACAGACAAAAACCCUUGCCCUCAUGGGGCAGGGUUGGGGAGACAGAUAAACAAUAAACAUAAUAAGUAAAUUAUGUAGGGUAAGUACUAAAGGAAGAAAAAGUAGAGCUGUGCAAGUGGGUAGCUAUUGUAUAAGGCAUGCAAGAUGCAGUAUUAAAUGGUCAAGGUAGGCCUCAUUCAAAAGAUGAUUUGAACAAUAACACAAAGGAGGUGAAAGCCAUGGUGUCUGGGGAAGCCCAUUCCAGGCGGAGGGAACAACUAGAGCAAAGGCCUAAGGUCAGAGUGUGUCUAGUAUGUUUAGAGAAUAGCAAAAAUGGUAGGAGAGAAGGUCAGAGAAGUAAGGAGGACAGAUCAUUUAUGGCCAUGUUAAGGACAUUUUAAGGACUUUGGCUUUGACUCUAAAUGAAAUGGGAAACUUUUGCAGAAGAGUGACAAUCAAAAAAAUGUCCUGUGAAAUGCAGCCAAAAAAAUAAGAUGAAUUGAUGAAUGGAAAGAGCCAUGGAUAAACAUAUACUAAAGCAAAUAUGGCAAAAUGUUAAGUGUAGAAUCUAGGGGGUGGAUGUAUAUAUAUGUGUGUGAUCACUGUUUAAUUCUUUCAAGUUUUCCAUGUGUUUAAAAAUAUCUGUAAGAAAAAAAUUUAAGCUAUUAAGAAAAAAACCUAAAUCUAACCCUGGUAAUAAUAUCGUAAUUUAACUGAUAUGUAUUGUUUUAUAGGACGAUUCUAACAUGUCACCGAAAACUCUCCUUAGGAAAUUCUACAUGAGAAAUCUUAUUUCCUCACUAACCUUCAUUAUGGAAUAGAAUGUAAUUCUUUGGAAAGAAUCUGAUUAAUAAAACCUAAAAUAAAAGUAACCUAAGAAUAUAAAAACAUUAAAAAUUACAUUUUCUGUAUAGUAAAGUCACUGUCAAUAUUUAGACAAAAUAGAAAUAUAAGAGUCAAAAUUUAUUCUGGCUGCUGUGUUUUAGAAAUCUAAAGGUCUCAUGGGCGCCUGGGUGGCUCAGUUGGUUAAGCGACUGCCUUCGGCUCAGGUCAUGAUCCUGGAGUCCCUUGAUCAAGUCCCGCAUCGGGCUCCCUGCUCGGCAGGGAGCCUGCUUCUGCCUCUGACCCUCCCCCCUCUCAUGUGCGCUCUCUCUCUCAUUCUCUCUGUCUCAAAUAAAUAAAUAAAAUCUUAAAAAAAAAAAAAUUAAAAAUAAAUAAAUUAGAAAUCUAAAGGUCUUGGGCCAAGGGAGGUAACAGUGGACAUGUUAAGAAGUAGUCUAAUUCUGUGGCUAGAUUUUGAAAGAACCAACAGGAUUCCCUGAUGGAUUGGAGGUAGAGUAAGAGAAAAAAGCAAUCUGGGAUGUCUCCAAGGUUUGUGGCUUGUGGUAUGAGCA